CCAAGAACUCAGACGUCGAUUCAUGCUCCCAAGGUGCCGCUCCAACUCUGCCCUAUAAUUUCCAUCUCUGGCUUAUCAAUUAUCCAAAUCGGCUUUCCUUGUUUUUGAUUUGGAGUUCGAAAUUCUCCAUAUUCAACAUAUAGAGAUUGGAUCCCUAAUUGAUUUUAAGUUGAUGAUUUUGUUCGACGAUUGAAACUCAAUCGUUGGUAUUUGCUACUCUCGACGAUUGAAACUCAAAUCAGAAUGAUGAUGUUUCUCUAGAAAUCAGGUUGGUGUUUGGAUUGGAUCCCUAAUUGAUUUUGGAAUGAUGUUUCUCUACAAAUCAGGUUGGUGUUUUGUUGAUUGGGUUGGAGCCCUAAUUUCUUGGGGAAAUGUAAAUGCAAAAAGGACCAUACUUGAUGGGAAAUACAUGAUGGAAGUUGAUAGAGUUCUUAGACCUGGUGGCUUCUGCCUUCUGGGUGCUUUCGGGUCCACCAAUUAAUUAGAGAAACAAUUACAAAUUGUGGCAACAUCCAAAGGAGGAUCUUGAGGAAGAACAGAGGAGUAUUGAAAAGGUUUCUAAGCUUCUAUGCUGGGAGAAAACAUCUGAGAGUGGAGAAACUACUAUUUGGCAGAAGAAAUUAAAUCUGGAAGCAUGUCGUGCCACAGAAAAUGCUCCGGGUGUUACAUAUUGCUCCCAAGAUCCAGAUGAUGUCUCGUAUGAUCACCUUGAUGUUAUUAUCAAUACUUUUUUGAAGAUUCAAAGCUUAAAGCUUCUUGUUUUCAACAAAGAACCCCUAAAUUCAUGUGGAAA